rnacentral:rRNA from 1 species
UACGUAGGGGGCUAGCGUUGUCCGGAAUCAUUGGGCGUAAAGCGCGUGUAGGCGGUUCGGUAAGUCCGCUGUGAAAGUCGGGGGCUCAACCCUCGGAAGCCGGUGGAUACUGUCGGGCUAGAGUUCGGUAGGGGAGACUGGAAUUCCUGGUGUAGCGGUGAAAUGCGCAGAUAUCAGGAGGAACACCGGUGGCGAAGGCGGUUCUCUGGGCCUUACCUGACGCUGAGGAGCGAAAGCAUGGGGAGCAAACAGG